UACAGAGGGUGCAAGCGUUGUUCGGAAUUAUUGGGCGUAAAGAGCGCGCAGGCGGUCGUUCAAGUCGAGUGUGAAAGCCCCCGGCUCAACUGGGGAGGGUCAUUCGAUACUGAUCGACUUGAAGGCAGGAGAGGGAAGUGGAAUUCCCGGUGUAGUGGUGAAAUGCGUAGAUAUCGGGAGGAACACCAGUGGCGAAGGCGACUUCCUGGCCUGUUCUUGACGCUGAGGCGCGAAAGCUAGGGGAGCAAACGGG
rnacentral:rRNA from 1 species